CUGCUGUGUGUAAUCAGAAAGGAAACCACUGUCUUCUGAGAAUGCGGAUAAGUGGACAGUAGGACUUGAAAUAGAAGUUGACUCCAACUGUGAUUUUCAUCAUCACCACUGUUCUUUGGGGGGGAUGUUAUGGGUGUCGGGGGUAUGGGGAAAUGCCUUGUAAAGCACACGAAUACUCUAUGAUAUAUUUUGAAUUAAAUAAUAAAGUUACAGUAGCAAAAAGAUGUAUCUUAAUUUUCUUAAGAGUUGGGAUUUUUUUUUUUUUUUUUAAAGUCUUCCAGUGUAAUAGCUUUAUUCCUCCCUUUCAUCAUACGCUACUGUUGAGAAUGAGACCUCCCUGCAAAACACUUGGGAAUAGAAGGAAUAACCAAGUAUUUUUUUUUUUUUUAGCAUUUCAGUAAAGUGGCUCUUCCCAUUUAGGAAAGCUAUUCAGGGAAGCCACCAUACUUUGUAGUACCAACAAAGACAAAUGGCUCCUUACUUCAGAGGCCACAGUCCUUCAAGGUAGAAAUAAAUCUUAACCAGAAGUCA
rnacentral:lncRNA from 1 species